GCCGAAGUGGCGGAAUUGGUAGACGCGCAACGUUGAGGUCGUUGUCCCCAUUGAAUGGGGGUGGAGGUUCAAGUCCUCUCUUCGGCA
rnacentral:tRNA from 1 species